rnacentral:lncRNA from 1 species
GAAGCUCUUUGCCUUAAAUUGAAGCAUUCAUAAAAGCUUUACUAUGAGUUGCAAAUGGUUAGCUUGUUUUUUUCAACAUAGAUUUUCUUAGACCAUAUUACUAACUAAAUGCAUAUCUAAUUGAAAUUCAAUGGUUUUAUUUUUAUGUUUAUUUACAAGAGUUCCCAAUAAUUAUUACAUUUGUUAUUAAGGAAGUAGAAAUGUCAUAAUUAAUCUUUGGUGGUACUUAAUUUUCAUCUCAGGGAUAUAUGUAGUAAAUCACAAAUUUAGACUGUUAGGUUAUGGCUGCUCGAUCUCUGUUUACGUGGCCAACACAUAUUCUUUUGGUAUGGUUUCGUUGAACCUUGUGCUUGACUUUUGCGUAUUAAAAAUUUCUAUCUUUAUCAUAGUGGUUUUGUUAGAUUAGGUAGAUAUAAUAACCAGCAGAGUAACAUUUGGGACUUAUGUGAGAUUUGUGAUCAUAGUGGUUUGUUUUUUAGUAAGUGACUAUUUUGGGUUUGUUCACAUGAUAUAACAAUGAAGACAUUAUGAGAAGAAAUUUGAUUUGGUGCUGAUAUCAGACGCGACUAUCAUCGAUGCAGGUACUAGGUACUUUUUAGUUUAUUUGGUCAAAGAGCCUUCUUGUUUGGAGUGUCUCCACCACAUGAUACAAUAAUGGAUAUACUUUCUGCCGGAUGAAAGGAAGCUAUGAAGGUGUUGGGAGUCUCUUAUAGUUACAAAGUGUAUUAGAAUGAAAAAAACUAAGCUUUAUAUAGAUAUAAUUUAUGUAUGUAUUUUUUUUUUUUGACAAAAUAAUUUAUGUAUGUAUUGACCAUUCCUAUGUUAUCAAUUUUGAGUAAUU